ACACAUGCAAGUCGAACGAGAAUCUACUGAAAGAGUUUUCGGACAAUGGAUGUAGAGGAAAGUGGCGGACGGGUGAGUAACGCGUGAGGAACCUGCCUUGAAGAGGGGGACAACAGUUGGAAACGACUGCUAAUACCGCAUGAUGCAUAGGGAUCGCAUGAUUCUUAUGCCAAAGAUUUAUCGCUUCAAGAUGGCCUCGCGUCUGAUUAGCCAGUUGGCGGGGUAACGGCCCACCAAGGCGACGAUCAGUAGCCGGACUGAGAGGUUGAACGGCCACAUUGGGACUGAGAUACGGCCCAGACUCCUACGGGAGGCAGCAGUGGGGAAUAUUGGGCAAUGGGCGCAAGCCUGACCCAGCAACGCCGCGUGAAGGAAGAAGGCUUUCGGGUUGUAAACUUCUUUUAAGAGGGAAGAGCAGAAGACGGUACCUCUAGAAUAAGCCACGGCUAACUACGUGCCAGCAGCCGCGGUAAUACGUAGGUGGCAAGCGUUGUCCGGAUUUACUGGGUGUAAAGGGCGUGCAGCCGGGUCUGCAAGUCAGAUGUGAAAUCCAUGGGCUCAACCCAUGAACUGCAUUUGAAACUGUAGAUCUUGAGUGUCGGAGGGGCAAUCGGAAUUCCUAGUGUAGCGGUGAAAUGCGUAGAUAUUAGGAGGAACACCAGUGGCGAAGGCGGAUUGCUGGACGAUAACUGACGGUGAGGCGCGAAAGUGUGGGGAGCAAACAGGAUUAGAUACCCUGGUAGUCCACACUGUAAACGAUGAAUACUAGGUGUGCGGG
rnacentral:rRNA from 1 species